rnacentral:ncRNA from 2 species
UUCACCAAACCUGUGAUCGGUUCCGUCAAGGCCCAAGGCCGGGCGGAAGCAAUAGGGAACACGGUGAGGUGUAGCCAUUAGGCGCCAAAUCCGUGACUGCCCCCGCAACUGUGAGCGGCGAGCGACGCUGAAACGCCACUGGGACAUGCCAAAUCGGCGCCCGGGAAGGCCAGCCAAGCCAAGACCCGUAAGUCAGGAGACCUGCCGGACACAAGUCGAUGGG